CAGUAGCCGCGGGAAUACGAAGGGGGCUAGCGUUGUUCGGAUUUACUGGGCGUAAAGCGCACGUAGGCGGAUUCUUAAGUCAGAGGUGAAAUCCCAAGGCUCAACCUUGGAACUGCCUUUGAUACUGGGGAUCUUGAGUCCGGGAGAGGUGAGUGGAACUGCGAGUGUAGAGGUGAAAUUCGUAGAUAUUCGCAAGAACACCAGUGGCGAAGGCGGCUCACUGGCCCGGAACUGACGCUGAGGUGCGAAAGCGUGGGGAGCAAACAGGAUUAGAUACCCGCGUAGUCCCUGUCUCUUAUAC
rnacentral:rRNA from 1 species